GGAAGACCUAAAAAUAGUGGCAAAAAGCCAACCGAGCUUGGUGAUAGCUGGUUACUCAACAAAUGAACCUUAGUUCAACUUUAGGUGCCCAUGGGCCAACUACUUUAACCCACCACCCUUUAACCUAAAGAAAUUCAAUGGGGGUACAGCCCCAUUGAACCGGAAUACAACCCGAAUUGAGAGACACCUACCAAACUUUAACCCUACAGUAGGCCCCAAAGCAGCCACCAAUUAAACGCGUUACAGCUACAACAAAACAAUUUUUACAAUAAUAUACACCUCCUAAUAUACCACGAGUUAUUCUAUUUUCUAAUAGAAACACCAAUGCUAAAAUUAGUAAUAAGAAACCCUAAUUUCUCUCCGCACCCCCUUAAAUCAGAAUAGAAAAACUACUGAUAAUUAACACAACACGACCUACAACAACUAGCUAGCAUGUCAACUAAAAUCUGUUACCCCAACACAGGAGUGCAAAAAAGAAAGGCAAAAAGCCAUAAAAGGAACUCGGCAAACCCCACCGUCCCAACUGUUUACCAAAAACAUAGCCUUUAGCUCAACAAGUAUUAAAGGUCCCGCCUGCCCAGUGACUCUUUAAACGGCCGCGGUAUCCUAACCGUGCAAAGGUA
rnacentral:rRNA from 1 species